AUUGAACGCUGGCGGCAUGCCUUACACAUGCAAGUCGAACGGUAACAGGUCUUCGGAUGCUGACGAGUGGCGAACGGGUGAGUAAUACAUCGGAACGUGCCUAGUAGUGGGGGAUAACUACUCGAAAGAGUGGCUAAUACCGCAUGAGAUCUACGGAUGAAAGCAGGGGAUCGCAAGACCUUGUGCUACUAGAGCGGCCGAUGGCAGAUUAGGUAGUUGGUGGGAUAAAAGCUUACCAAGCCGACGAUCUGUAGCCGGUCUGAGAGGACGGUCAGCCACACUGGGACUGAGACACGGCCCAGACUCCUACGGGAGUCAGCAGUGGGGAAUUUUGGACAAUGGGCGAAAGCCUGAUCCAGCAAUGCCGCGUGCAGGAUGAAGGCCUUCGGGUUGUAAACUGCUUUUGUACGGAACGAAAAGCCCCGGGUUAAUACCCUGGGGUCAUGACGGUACCGUAAGAAUAAGCACCGGCUAACUACGUGCCAGCAGCCGCCGUAA
rnacentral:rRNA from 1 species